rnacentral:rRNA from 1 species
GAUGAACGCUAGCUACAGGCUUAACACAUGCAAGUCGAGGGGCAGCAUUUCAGUUUGCUUGCAAACUGGAGAUGGCGACCGGCGCACGGGUGAGUAACACGUAUCCAACCUGCCGAUAACUCGGGGAUAGCCUUUCGAAAGAAAGAUUAAUACCCGAUGGCAUAAUUAGACCGCAUGGUCUUAUUAUUAAAGAAUUUCGGUUAUCGAUGGGGAUGCGUUCCAUUAGGCAGUUGGUGAGGUAACGGCUCACCAAACCUUCGAUGGAUAGGGGUUCUGAGAGGAAGGUCCCCCACAUUGGAACUGAGACACGGUCCAAACUCCUACGGGAGGCAGCAGUGAGGAAUAUUGGUCAAUGGGCGCAGGCCUGAACCAGCCAAGUAGCGUGAAGGAUGACUGCCCUAUGGGUUGUAAACUUCUUUUAUAUGGGAAUAAAGUUUUCCACGUGUGGAAUUUUGUAUGUACCAUAUGAAUAAGGAUCGGCUAACUCCGUGCCAGCAGCCGCGGUAAUACGGAGGAUCCGAGCGUUAUCCGGAUUUAUUGGGUUUAAAGGGAGCGUAGGUGGACAGUUAAGUCAGUUGUGAAAGUUUGCGGCUCAACCGUAAAAUUGCAGUUGAUACUGGCUGUCUUGAGUACAGUAGAGGUGGGCGGAAUUCGUGGUGUAGCGGUGAAAUGCUUAGAUAUCACGAAGAACUCCGAUUGCGAAGGCAGCUCACUGGACUGCAACUGACACUGAUGCUCGAAAGUGUGGGUAUCAAACAGGAUUUAGAUACCCUGGUAGUCCACACAGUAAACGAUGAAUACUCGCUGUUUGCGAUAUACAGUAAGCGGCCAAGCGAAAGCAUUAAGUAUUCCACCUGGGGAGUACGCCGGCAACGGUGAAACUCAAAGGAAUUGACGGGGGCCCGCACAAGCGGAGGAACAUGUGGUUUAAUUCGAUGAUACGCGAGGAACCUUACCCGGGCUUAAAUUGCAUUUGAAUAUAUUGGAAACAGUAUAGCCGUAAGGCAAAUGUGAAGGUGCUGCAUGGUUGUCGUCAGCUCGUGCCGUGAGGUGUCGGCUUAAGUGCCAUAACGAGCGCAACCCUUAUCUUUAGUUACUAACAGGUCAUGCUGAGGACUCUAGAGAGACUGCCGUCGUAAGAUGUGAGGAAGGUGGGGAUGACGUCAAAUCAGCACGGCCCUUACGUCCGGGGCUACACACGUGUUACAAUGGGGGGUACAGAAGGCAGCUACCUGGUGACAGGAUGCUAAUCCCAAAAGCCUCUCUCAGUUCGGAUCGAAGUCUGCAACCCGACUUCGUGAAGCUGGAUUCGCUAGUAAUCGCGCAUCAGCCAUGGCGCGGUGAAUACGUUCCCGGGCCU